rnacentral:rRNA from 1 species
GGAAGGAUCAUUAUUGAAUUUUGAAGCGGGGCUCUUGAGCUGGCACUGCAGGUGCUCAGAGCCUCCAUUCAUUCCAAUUCAACCCCUGUGCACCUUUGAGAACCGAUAAGUUGGGUACGGAGCACGGUUCAUUUCCUUUUUUGGGUUGAACUUAGUGAAGUGUCCGCUUUCGUUUCUUAUUACACAAACUCUAUAUAUUGUUUUGUAGAAUGUAUCGCCUUUGAUUAGGCAAAGUCUAAAUACAACUUUCAACAACGGAUCUCUUGGCUCUCGCAUCGAUGAAGAACGCAGCGAAAUGCGAUAAGUAAUGUGAAUUGCAGAAUUCAGUGAAUCAUCGAAUCUUUGAACGCACCUUGCGCUCCUUGGUAUUCCGAGGAGCAUGCCUGUUUGAGUGUCAUUAUAUUCUCAACUCUCUUGAUUUUUUUUGAAUCGCUUGAGUUGGAUUUGGAGGUUUCUAUGCUGGCCCUCACGGAUCGGCUCCUCUUAAAUACAUUAGCUGAGCUUUUACUUGAUGCAAUGGUGUAAUAAUUAUCUUCACCGAUGUAACUAGUGAAAUAGGCUUGCUUCUAAUCGUCUCUUGACCGAGACAUUAUAAGAAAAAGGGCAACCUUUCUCUUUGACUCUCUUGACCUCAAAUCAGGUAGGACUACCCGCUGAACUUAG